rnacentral:rRNA from 1 species
UACGGAGGGGGCGAGCGUUAUUCGGAAUUAUUGGGCGUAAAGGGCGCGUAGGCGGCCAACUAAGUCGGAUGUGAAAUCCCCAGGCUUAACCUGGGAACUGCAUCCGAUACUGGAUGGCUUGAAUCCGGGAGAGGGAUGCAGAAUUCCAGGUGUAGCGGUGAAAUGCGUAGAUAUCUGGAGGAAUACCGGUGGCGAAGGCGGCAUCCUGGACCGGCAUUGACGCUGAUGAGCGAAAGCUAGGGGAGCAAACGGG